AAAGUGAUUCUUGGGGGUCUAGACGCUUGUGGAGAGACGCCAAAGUUCUUUGGAGACGCUACAUGGCGUAGGCGGUUGAUAUGAAUUAAGUUAUUAUUGAAAGUGGAAAGAUCCUGUUGCUAUGUGAUAUCACCUUCAACAGCCCGAAAUACAAGGAUCCGUCAAUGAGAAAACGUUUGGCCGUUCUUUAAAUAUUUGUGGUGGACUGUCUGCAAAUCAAAAGCUAAAAGGACUAAAAUACUGAAGAACUGGAGCUUGAAAAGAUUGUUCAAAAGGAGCUUGCUGAUCAUCUUAAACUUGAUGAUUGCAAAAUUUAAGAACAUGAGGUGUCAGUAUCGGAGGAAGAAGAAAAGAAUGUUCACUUUUAAAAGUGGCAUUGGAGGACAGGGAUUCGUUCCAAAGUGGGAGCAUUUCCAUCAACUGUCUUUAUUAACUGAAAUAAAUUUGGUAAUUUAAAUAUUCUAGCUUUUAUUAACUAGCUUUUUUUAAAAUUAUGUAACUGUAGUAAUUGAUUGUAAAAUAAAUUGAUUUACUUUUUUAAAAAAA